UUAUGUGGGAGUUACAUGCAUUUGGUUUAAAAAAACACACAAGCACUAACUAACAUUUAUACUUUUCCAAAUUGUGUCAUCCCAUUAAAACGUCGAUCGCUCCUCUGAAGAGAUUAGCUUUCACAAUAUUGCCAACCUUCGGAAGAUCUCUUAAUAAGAGGCUGCAUGACAGCAAAAGCUUUCGCUUUUCCUAGAUGGAGAGAGACAAUUUUCAAGACCUCCCAGUCCAAAUGUAUAUGUAGAUUAUGUAGAAGCAGACUGCAAUAUGACAAUAUAUAUAAUGAGUGAAUCAGAAAUGGCGAUGUUGUCUGAAUUGUUUCUAUUUUGGUAGCAAGACACAUGUAUGGUUUAUACUUGUAUGCACGGCUGUGUCUUGUACACUUCAAAGUGAACAUCUCUUAAUAACUACCUACCGUAUGAUCAAUUGGGAAGAAGUACUGUAUGGCUUGCCUCAAAGUACAAAUCAUAGCACAUAUGGCAUAUCAUAACAUGACCUAAAAAUCUACCACCCUUGAAGAGUUGUAUUCCUCCUUAUAUAUAUAGAUAUGCCCUUCAUGAAGAGAGGUACCAAAACUAAUCUUAGAGGUUGGAAUAGGGUUGAGAAGUUUUUUAGAGUCAUAGGUAAAUGUAUUAUUUCAAUGGUAUAUAUAUGGAGGCAUAUACCUCAUGACUAACAUUGUGAGGUAUAUAUGCCUCUAUAUACCUCCCAAGUCCCAUGGAAAAAAAAAGUCCAACCUUACCAAUUGUAUACUGUUCUUUCAAUCAGUUCCACCGAUUUUCUUUCUUUUUCCCCUUGAAUAGUGAGGAGGUACCUUUCCAAGGAGAUGAGUUAGCAUGCUGACAAGACAAUGCACAACUAUUAACAUCUCUCGUGUGCAGGGGAGAGAGAUAGAAAGAGCAAAACCAUAGUAGAGAGCUCAAGUGCUCAACAAAUGUGCCAGGCCUCGUCAACAUGUUGAGUCAUGUAUCCAUGGCUAAAAGUUCAUUCAAAUGAGUGGAAUGAUGGAAUGUGUCUGGUAUAGAGAGAGGAGGAAAAUUUGAAGUUUAGGGACAAAAUAUUUAACUGUUGCCAUAGGUGUGGAAUGGAAAUUUUUUUAAUAUGUAAUAAUUAGAUGAGACUAUGGCUUGGGCAUCUUGUUUAUUUCGAAAAAGAACCAAAUGUUGUUUCACCACUUAGUGAAACGCUUCAGAGAAAUGGAAUGUUUAAAAACUACAAACUGCAACACCAACAACCGUGACAUGAAACAUUGAGCCCAGUGAUAAAUCCAUGGAAAGAAUUCAUAAAAUCGAUAAGUAAAGUCAAAUAUGAGUGGAAACAUUUGCAUCUGACACGUAAAAUCGUUUAAAGUUACUAAUGCAGCACAUGCAUGAAUGCAGACAGCCACUGCAUGCUCAAGGAGAUAGAGAGAGUAGACAGACUAUCCGUCUAAGAGAUGACGCAUGCAGCUAGAGAGAGAAACGAGGUGCGCCGGAUGCAGAAAGUGCAAGCGCAAGAUGGAGGCACAACCUGUUGGCUUUAUCAGCAGACCGAUAGGAAGCAUUUUUAAUGAUAAUUUCGUAUAAAUAAACCAUCUGACUAAAUUCUCCCCUCAGUUCUAUUAUAUUUCUUGACGUGUUGGAUAA